UGAUAAUUUUAUUCUAAUAUAUGUAGUUCUGUAAAAUUUACCUUUUUUUUAAGGAAAUCGCACGUUCGGUUUGACCUUCGACUUCCGACCGCCGGCGAUGGCGGCGACGGUGCGGUUCGGCCUCCUGAUGGCGAUGUUCCAGGCCAUGUCGCGUGACAAAGGGGGGGGGGGGGGUGGUGGUGGAGAAGAAGCGCGGCCGCCUCCGCGUGUUCCUCGACCGAGCCUACCGGUCCAGCGGCGGGGACGAUUAAUUCAGCGCGCUCCGUUUCGUCCUCCCGGGGCUCGACCGCGAGCGCGGCUCCUACGGGCUCAAGGAGGCAGCCCUCACCGCCGCGCUCGUCGAAGCCCUCAGCAUCGCCAAGGAGUCCCCCGACGCCGUCCGGCUCACCAACUGGCGCCGUAGCGGGGGUGGCCGCAACGCCGGUAACUUCGCGCUCGUCGCCGCUGAGGUUCUGCAACGGAGCAAGGUAUGACUUCUGGUGGAUUGACGAUGAAGGAGAUCAAUGAUGCACUUGAUCGUCUAGCUGCAACCGAGAACAGGUCUGAGAAGGCCUCAAUACUUUCUAGUCUGAUCAAGAAAACCAAUGCCCUUGAAAUGAAGUGGCUUCUGAUGAGAUAGCUUGCCAAUUGCUGCUUUGUGCACUUUUGUAUAUUUUCUGCUGCAUUUCUGCAGUAUUUUUGGUUGCUUUUGAUGCUUGGCAUACUUCAUCAUAGAUUUGAAACUGGGGAUCAGUGAAAGAGCAUAUUCCAUGAGUUUCA